rnacentral:rRNA from 1 species
GACGAACGCUGGCGGCGCGCCUAACACAUGCAAGUCGAACGAGCGAGAGAGAGCUUGCUUUCUCGAGCGAGUGGCGAACGGGUGAGUAACGCGUGAGGAACCUGCCUCAAAGAGGGGGACAACAGUUGGAAACGACUGCUAAUACCGCAUAAGCCCACGGCUCGGCAUCGAGCAGGGGGAAAAGGAGCAAUCCGCUUUGAGAUGGCCUCGCGUCCGAUUAGCUAGUUGGUGGGGUAACGGCCCACCAAGGCGACGAUCGGUAGCCGGACUGAGAGGUUGAACGGCCACAUUGGGACUGAGACACGGCCCAGACUCCUACGGGAGGCAGCAGUGGGGAAUAUUGCACAAUGGGGGAAACCCUGAUGCAGCGACGCCGCGUGGAGGAAGAAGGUCUUCGGAUUGUAAACUCAUGUUGUUGGGGAAGAUAAUGACGGUACUCAACAAGGAAGUGACGGCUAACUACGUG